UAGUUUGUGUCUUAUGCUGAUAAUAGUUUCCUCUUUUGUUCAUUCCAGAUUUGAGUACAAUGCUUCUGCCUCAUUAGUAAAGGAAGUUUCUUUUGAGGAAUCUGAAGGGGGUAUCAAGACCAAAUUUUUGUGGAAGUGACUAUAUCUCUCAACUUUCCUCGCUGUUUUUCAUAAACUUGGGAGGGACCAUUAGUAAGACCUGUUUCGACUUUCGAAUGUGAAUGGAUUCUUUUCUGUUGGCUACUAAAAGCUGAAAUCAGGGGCGGUAUGUGUUGUUUAUUAUAUUUUGUUUCGUCUUGUUUUUUGUUCUUCACUAGAAAGAACUAUGUACUUUUUUUAUAUGAAGAAGUUUUUUAUUUAAAUUCAUGUGUGAAUUAAGUUCCUUUUCUGGUUC